UGGGGAAUAUUGGACAAUGGGCGCAAGCCUGAUCCAGCCAUACCGCGUGGGUGAAGAAGGCCUUCGGGUUGUAAAGCCCUUUUGUUGGGAAAGAAAUCCAGCUGGCUAAUACCCGGUUGGGAUGACGGUACCCAAAGAAUAAGCACCGGCUAACUUCGUGCCAGCAGCCGCGGUAAUACGAAGGGUGCAAGCGUUACUCGGAAUUACUGGGCGUAAAGCGUGCGUAGGUGGUCGUUUAAGUCCGUUGUGAAAGCCCUGGGCUCAACCUGGGAACUGCAGUGGAUACUGGACGACUAGAGUGUGGUAGAGGGUAGCGGAAUUCCUGGUGUAGCAGUGAAAUGCGUAGAGAUCAGGAGGAACAUCCAUGGCGAAGGCAGCUACCUGGACCAACACUGACACUGAGGCACGAAAGCGUGGGGAGCAAACAGGAUUAGAUACCCCCGUAGUCCCUGAGCGGGCUGGCAAGGCGCAU
rnacentral:rRNA from 1 species